UGGCCGUAUACGUUAACCGGGAUAUUUUUUACCCCAAGAUGGUACUCUGAAUAAAAUCUUCUGCGGCUCCUGAUUGGAUGAUACAAAGUUGGAAUUGCUCCAAUAAAAUUUAAGCAGCGAUCGAUCAUCCAUGUAAUACACAAUCUUGAACAGGUGAGUCCGGACUGUGACCUGACAUGACCCCGGACUAGCCUGAAGUUUACUAUACCUGCGUGUAUUGCAUUACGACGACUAACUGUAUGUAAACUGUUUAUUGUCGUAAAGUAUAUUGACGGGACAUUUGAUCAAGCAUGUAAUACAUAAGAAAUUUAUAAGAUAUUUAUCCGACAUUUAACGAAAAAUAUAAUUGUAAUAGGCGAGUCCGGAUGGUGACCUGAAGUAACCCCGGACUAGGUGUAUUCGCAAACUAAAGACAUCGAUAGAGAUAUAAAACUUCACACAUUAUUUGACGAGACGAACUUAUUCAUUUUUAUUCAUUCAACUUUUUCCUUAUUGUAUUGUCGUCGGAAACAUUAAUAAAAGACGUUCACCGAGAAUCAACAAAUUAAUAUUAGGCGAGUCCGGACUGUGACCUGAUAUAACCCCGGACCAGGAGUAUACGGAUUGUAUAUAAAUAAACUAAAUUAUUUGUUUAAUUGAAAGAUUUUUUUCCCCUUUUUGCUUUUUACUUUUCCUUUAUUUAUUUCUCUAUUUCGUAAGUUAUUCGAAUGUCAUCGGAAAAUUCAAUAAACGAAACUUAAGCGGCGUUCAACAAUGUAAUACACUAUCUUGAACAGGUGAGUCCGGACUGUGACCUGACAUGACCCCGGACUAGCUUGAAGUUUACUAUACCUGCGUGUAUUGCAUUACGACGACUAACUGUAUGUAAACUGUUUAUUGUCGUAAAGUAUAUUGACGGGACAUUUGAUCAAGCAUGUAAUACAUAAGAAAUUUAUAAGAUAUUUAUCCGACA
rnacentral:lncRNA from 1 species